GUGUCCAUUGUCCAGUGGAUAGGACAGAGGUCUUCAAAACCUUUGAUAGUGGUUCAAAUUCUGUUGGACACA
rfam:Populus trichocarpa scaffold_8_contig_46, whole genome shotgun sequence.